UGGUGGAGUGAUUUGUCUGCCUAAUCGCGAUAACGAACGAGACCUUGACCUGCUAAAUAGCCCGUAUUGCUUUGGCAGUACGCUGGCUUCUUAGAGGGACUAUCGGCUCAAGCCGAUGGAAGUUCGAGGCAAUAACA
rnacentral:rRNA from 1 species